rnacentral:misc_RNA from 1 species
GAUGAAGAACGUAGCGAAAUGCGAUAAGUAAUGUGAAUUGCAGAAUUCAGUGAAUCAUCGAAUCUUUGAACGCACAUUGCGCCCGCCAGUAUUCUGGCGGGCAUGCCUGUUCGAGCGUCAUUACAACCCUCAGGCCCCCGGGCCUGGCGUUGGGGAUCGGCGGAGCCCCCCGUGGGCACACGCCGUCCCCCAAAUACAGUGGCGGUCCCGCCGCAGCUUCCAUCGCGUAGUAGCUAACACCUCGCGACUGGAGAGCGGCGCGGCCACGCCGUAAAACACCCAACUCUUCUGAAGUUGACCUCGAAUCAGGUAGGAAUACCCGCUGAACUUAAGCAUAUCAAAGCGGAGGA